ACCCAAUAGAUACCCGGGUAGUCCACGCCGUAAACGAUGAGAACUAGGUGUCGCGGGUGUUGACCCCUGCGGUGCCGUAGCUAAACGCAUUAAGUUCUCCGCCUGGGAAGUACGGCCGCAAGGUUAAAACUCAAAGGAAUUGACGGGGCCCGGCACAAGCGGUGGAGCAUGUGGUUUAAUUCGACGCAACGCGCAGAACCUUACCCAGACUUGACAUCCUGGAAAGUUGGCCCAAAAGCUGACGUGCCCGCAAGGGAAUCCAGAGACAGGUGCUGCAUGGCUGUCGUCAGCUCGUGUCGUGAGAUGUUGGGUUAAGUCCCGCAACGAGCGCAACCCUCGCCUUUAGUUGCUCCGCAAGGAGAUCUCUAGAGGGACCGCCAGUGAUAAGCUGGAGGAAGGUGGGGAUGACGUCAAGUCCUCAUGGCCUUUAUGUCUGGGGCUACACACGUGCUACAAUGGCGAGUACAAAGCGUUGCCAACCC
rnacentral:rRNA from 1 species